GUCCAGGUGGUCGCCUUCGCCACUGGUGUUCCUUCCUAUAUCUACGCAUUUCACCGCUACACAGGAAAUUCCACCACCCUCUACCGUACUCUAGCUUGCCAGUUUUGGAUGCAGUUCCCAGGUUGAGCCCGGGGCUUUCACAUCCAACUUAACAAACCACCUACGCGCGCUUUACGCCCAGUAAUUCCGAUUAACGCUUGCACCCUCUGUAUUACCGCGGCUGCUGGCACAGAGUUAGCCGGUGCUUAUUCUGUCGGUAACGUCAAAACAGCAAGGUAUUAACUUACUGCCCUUCCUCCCAACUUAAAGUGCUUUACAAUCCGAAGACCUUCUUCACACACGCGGCAUGGCUGGAUCAGGCUUUCGCCCAUUGUCCAAUAUUCCCCACUGCUGCCUCCCGUAGGAGUCUGGACCGUGUCUCAGUUCCAGUGUGACUGAUCAUCCUCUCAGACCAGUUACGGAUCGUCGCCUUGGUGAGCCAUUACCCCACCAACUAGCUAAUCCGACCUAGGCUCAUCUGAUAGCGCAAGGCCCGAAGGUCCCCUGCUUUCUCCCGUAGGACGUAUGCGGUAUUAGCGUUCCUUUCGAAACGUUGUCCCCCACUACCAGGCAGAUUCCUAGGCAUUACUCACCCGUCCGCCGCUGAAUCAAGGAGCAAGCUCCCGUCAUCCGCUCGACUUGCAUGUGUUAGGCCUGCCG
rnacentral:rRNA from 1 species